GCCAGUAGCUAUAUCACCCUACAACUCACAACUGGCAACCCACUGAAGCUCAGCAGGUGUGAGCCUGGUCAGUACCUGGAUGGGAGACCUCCUGGGAAAAACUAAGGUUGCUGCUGGAA
ensembl:rRNA 5S_rRNA 5S ribosomal RNA